rnacentral:misc_RNA from 1 species
AAGAACUUAACUCAUCCCUUCAUCUUUUUUUCUUCUUCAUCAAUCAAUUAUCAUGAAAUCUUCAACAAUUUCAUUAAGUGAUCGAUACCAGAAAUUUUCCUCUUCAGGAGACGAUACGCCGUCGCCGAUUCGCUCGAAAACUCGAUUUUAUGUUGAUACGAUGGAUCCACAACCUGCAAUGUAUAGAAAAAAGAAAAAUGAUGUUCCAUGGUCAACUGGAUUAUGUGAUUGUAUGUCUGAUCCCAAAAAUUGUUGUAUUACAUUAUGGUGUCCAUGUAUCACUUUUGGACAGGUAGCUGAGAUUAUUGACAAGGGAUCUAAUUCUUGUGGAGUAAAUGGGGCAUUAUAUACAAUAAUAAUAUGUGUGACUUCUUGUCCAUGUAUUUACUCUUGUUUUUAUCGUAACAAAAUGAGACAACAAUAUUUGUUGAAAAAAAGUCCUUGUGGAGAUUGUCUGGUUCAUUGCUUUUGUGAAGCUUGUGCAUUGUGUCAAGAAUAUCGUGAGCUCAAAAAUCAAGGAGUUGAUAUGUCAAUUGGAUGGCAUGGAAAUGUGGAGAGACAAAAUCGUGGUGUGAUCAUCCCACCAACAGUUGAAGGUGGAAUGAAUAGAUAAAGAUUAUAUUUUUUUUUAGAAAUCGAAGUAAUAACUGCGAUAUAAUAAAGAGAUGCAUUUAGUUGAACGAUAGAAAAUAAUAAUUUUGUUAGUGGAUUAUGAUUGUAAUCAAAUUAUGUACA